CUGGAGAUACUCCUUUUGGGGGGGGGGGGGCAGAGGUUGUCAUCUUAGAACCAAAAAAAAACAAAAACAAAUCAUACACUAAAAGUCAUACACCUACUAUAACAUUUUUAGUAAUGUAAUUUUAUUACAAAAAUAUUUUGUGUAGUGUUUAUAGAUUUUUGUUUGUGUAGUGUAUAUAGAGGUGCUUGCAUAAUAACUAAAAAAAAUUCUUAGUCUUGUAUAUUGUGGGGGGGUGUCUGUGGGGGCGGGGGGAACCCCUGCACUCCCCCCAUGGUGCUACAGCAGCAGGUGGGGUGCUCAGAGCCCAAAAGGUUGGGCACACUGUUUCAGAUCAUUUUGGAUAAAUGAUUACCUGCUUGAUGGCCCAGGAAGCCUUUUCCAAUUUAAUAUUAGCUUGGAAGCCUGGAAUGAAGUGCAUGUAAUGCAUCUCAAGCAGGUCCAAGGAGGUGAUCCUCCCCCUGUAUGUGACACUGGUCAGGCCACAGUUGGAGUACUGCAUCCAGUUCUGGGCACCACACUUCAGGAGGCAUGUGGACAGCAUGAAGAGGGUCCAGAGGAGGGCCGCCCGCAUGAUCGGGGGUAGCAGGGCAGGCCCUACGAGGAGAGGCUACAGGACCUGAACCUGUUCAGCCUUCACAAGAGAAGGCUGAGGGGGGAUCUAGUGGCCGUUUACAAACUAGUCAGGGGGGACCAGCAGGCAUUGGGAGAGUCCCUGUUCCUCCGAGCACUCCCAGGAAUGACAAGAAAUAACGGUCACAAGCUGGCAGAGGGUAGAUUCAGGCUAGAUAUCAGGAGGCACUACUUAACUGUCAGGGCGGCUAGGAUCUGGAACCAACUUCCAAGAGAAGUGGUGUUGGCUCCUACCCUGGAGGUCUUUAAAAGGAGGCUGGACGAACACCUGGCUGGGAUCAUUUGACUCCAGUACUCUUUCCUGCCAUGGCACGGGGUCGGACUUGAUGAUCUGCUCAGGUCCCUUCCAACUCUACCAACUAUGAAACUAUGAAUAAAUGCCUUGUAUCAGCACCUUUUUUUUCAUUCCUAUUGAUCAUAAUGCACUUUAAAACUGUAUGUAGUACACACUAUUUAAAUAGACUAGUGAAGGAAAACAGUAAAAGCAUCCUGUUGUGAGGAUGGUGAAAUUAUUGGCUAAGGGUAUCCAUGUGAAUCUCUCCUGUAACAGAACUACCCGGAGGCAAAAGCGCAAAGGCCUUCCUUGAUUUUUUUAAAGGUACUAUCCAAAAGAUUCAUGGGCAAUAAACUGCAUGCAACUCCAUUUCUUUUCCUUGCAAAGAUGAAGUGUUGGGUUGAUUCUUUCAGGAACUGACAUUUGAUCCCAGAUUAUCUAAUAAUUAGGCCCUAAUUAUUGCUAGCCUGUUACCAGAUUUGCCCAUCUGGUAACAGGCUAGCAAUAAUGGUUGCGCUCAUUUAUUAGGGAUAUGUUUUUAGGGUCUUUGUAAUUCUAUCAAUGUGCUGCGUCUGUUACUUGUGUUUCUAUACAGAGCUGUAUCUCUUGUUUCUUCAAGUCCUAACCCCCAGUGGAGCUAUCUUGCAGGACUCAGUUUCAAUGGGGCUGGGUUCCCCCAGCCACCUAAUCAUUCCAAUACACACACACAGAUUAACGUGACACACCUGACCCGACUGGGUUGAUCAGCAUGGACAGGCUGAGCCCUCAUAUGCCAGGAAUCAGUUCUUUAAGUUAACAAUAAAAUUAAGUCAGACACAAGCACACAGGUAAACAGAAUACCUCUGAAUCUAGCUGGGUGUCCAGCUGACACCCUCACGGGCUAGCAUUUACUUCAUUAGGGCACGUCUGAGCCAAACUGGGUCAAUCAGCCUGUACAAGCUGAUCCCCUUAUAUGUCUCAAACUCAGCACGUCCCAAUCUUUUGACCUAUCUGUCCUAGUAGUGGUAGCCUCUUGAUGAGCAGACCCUGUAGCAGAAAGCCCCCUUUUCCUCUUGUCUGCAUUUGCUCUCCCCUCUUUGGAUAUGUUUCUCUUUUUCCACCUUUUCUUCCUUCCUCUCUCUUUCACUUUAAGAUAAGGAAUUGUGUUUUAAAAUUUGUAUGUGUGCAUUUUGUAUCUCCCCUUGUAGUUUGGUAUUUUUAUCUAUUUGUGUGCCAUGGCAUUUGUAGCUUAUAUUUUAUACUCCUCACCUUUCAACUUUCAACUGAAUGUGUUUAGUUUCAUAAGUAAAUUAUACAUUGUAACAAUGUUAACAAGGGCAGGAAUCAAACUGCCCUGCCCUGUAUCAGGCUGGCCCCUGAAAGAGCAAGUGAAUCAGUGAUUGAAUGUGUAACAUAGUAGCAGACAGUAAUUAUCACCUGGAAGCUGCAGAUCAACCAAGGGAAGAACUCAAUAAGACAAUGUAACAACCGGGAAAUCUCUAAACGUCACUGAUCAAGGGCUAGAAGCCCUGGCCUGAGUUAAUCAACACCAGAGACCAACUUCUGGGCUGAAUAUCUCCAGAUCAACCACUCCCAGAGCUCUAUUCUAAAUUCAUCAACGGACUCCCAAACCUGCACGUACAUGCGGACGACUCCUGGGGCUGACAGAUGCCGUCCAGUAGCCACCGAGGGGGGGAAGUCCCACGAGGGUCAAUGACUCCUGGAUUAGGCAAACCUGAAAACUGGGGAGUCACCAAAGUCUGCCAAGGACAGAUAAAAGGCAGUGAAAAGUGACCCUCGGGGGCGUCCUCUUGAUCUCCAACUUGACCAGACCUGUCCAGCCAGAAGGACCAGCGGGCGACCCCCUUCUGGAGGAUAACAUCACGCUGAAAGAAGCCUCGACUGGCCAUCGAUGGCAGACUCCAGCGCUUGUAGGAUAGCAGGUAGACCACAUGGGAGAUGUAUGAAUCUGCUACUGCCCUGAAGCUAAAGGAUCUGGUCUUUUACCUCAAACAGCCCCUGCCUUAGAUCCAGAGCUUAGUUCUUAGUUCAAAUAAACUACAUGAAAAAAUGAAUAGCUCUAAACCAGAUGAACUUUGUCUAGCACAAAAAAGCCUCACUGGACAAAACAAAGAGAUCAUAGAAUUGUCCAAGUACAUUUCCUAGAUCUGUAGAUUUAAUGCUGGAAAGGACCGUUAGAAUUAUCUGCUCCGACCAUCUGCAUAACAGGCCACAGAACAAGCCUGUUGCUGGAAUAAAAGACAUGGCUUUUUUUUAUGCUGUUUCAAAUCGGUUUCCAAUCAUUCCUCUGAGUUACGCUCUUAAGUCCUAAAUUACCAUUUUCAUAUGUGGCUGUCUGACAGUCCACAAUUGGCUCCCUCACUUGCAGCUCUGUCACCACCUUCCAGUGCCUUGGGUCCAUUCUUCUGCUGCCAUCAAAUUCAGGGUAAUUAAUUUAAUUUUUGUAUAAGAUCUAGCUGAGCAUGGAAUAACUUAUAUUAUUUGUACUUCAUUAGCAGUCAUGUUUUUUUAGCUUAUGGUUAAUAGGACCUGAUAGUAUCUUUUAAAAAAUGGAAAUAAAUUGGAUUACAAUUUUA